rnacentral:rRNA from 1 species
UACGUAGGGUGCAAGCGUUGUCCGGAAUUAUUGGGCGUAAAGAGCUCGUAGGCGGUCUGUCGCGUCGGCUGUGAAAACCCGGAGCUCAACUCCGGGCCUGCAGUCGAUACGGGCAAACUGGAGUGUUGCAGGGGAGACUGGAAUUCCUGGUGUAGCGGUGAAAUGCGCAGAUAUCAGGAGGAACACCGGUGGCGAAGGCGGGGUCUCUGGGCAACAACUGACGCUGAGGAGCGAAAGCGUGGGGAGCGAACAGG